rnacentral:piRNA from 2 species
UCAAAGAAGGUUUUCAGGAGACUAUGCAAGU